UACGGAGGAUGCAAGCGUUAUCCGGAAUGAUUGGGCGUAAAGGGUCCGCAGGUGGCAGUGUAAGUCUGCUGUCAAAGAAUGAGGCUUAACCUCAUCAAGGCAGUGGAAACUACACAGCUAGAGUACGGUCGGGGUAGAAGGAAUUCCUGGUGUAGCGGUGAAAUGCGUAGAGAUCAGGAGGAACACCGGUGGCGAAAGCGUUCUGCUAGACCUGUACUGACACUGAGGGACGAAAGCUAGGGGAGCGAAUGGG
rnacentral:rRNA from 1 species